UCUUGCGAGUUUCCGAGCAUCUUCGCUGAUGAAUGGUCCGUGUGUAACAUUCUUACGUCAUAGCGUAACAUAGUCAUCAAUUAAAACUGAAAUUGCAUGAUUACUUGCGUUAAUUCUCACUGUACGUUAUCUAGUUUCCCAGCGCAUAACAAGCUCCAAUUACAAAUCCAGUUAUUAACGAACGAAUCAUACGUUCGAACGAUACGAUACCUACUUACGACACGGCACGACACGACACGCGAGUAUACAAAGGCAACCCGAGCUCGUACGUGCUCGUUGAACGCAUUACAUAUAUUCCUGCGCUUAUGCAAGGUGUCAGUUGCUAAUCCGAGGCUGGCUCAUAGCCGCUCUCGGAAGCUAAGUUGGAAUUUCUUUCGUUCCCAGACUCGCUCCGACAACGUUGCCAUUGUCAAAGUAAAUCUUGAUUCAUCGAUCAUUUCCAGAAUACCAAAUAUUGGCUUUGAAAUACAGGUCAUCGCGUACAAGGAGUGCGGAGACCACGGGAGACCAAGACGAUGCCGAGAGGGUGAGACCGCUACACCAGGCGAAGAGAUGGCCGAGAAGAACGAGGAGAGGAGGCAAAAACUGGCGAACGUCGAAGGUGGGACUUUGACCGGCCAUUGGCCUCGGCGAGUCGAGCCGCUGGCAGAGCGAACGAGUCCUCGAAAGAAAGGGUCCGUCCUCGCCUGUCCACGUUCAGCGCGAGGUCUUACGUUGUAUAUCGCACGUACACCUCGAUCGGGGACCAGCCGGGGACCAUCGUACCCUGGCUCGGCCGAGAUCUUCACAUUGUGGAAUGUAUGACGACCGUUCCUAUCGGCAUUUAGCUGUAAUUUGUGAGCAAUUCACCGUCUUACGAGAAUUCAUUAGUAGGCGCGAGAACAUGUUUCUGUAUGGACAAACCUUCUCCCUCUCUUUCAAAUGGAAUAAAUGGAAAUCGAGCAGAGGAAUGCAUGUAUAUUAAUACAAUGCAAUAUCGAUGUGUCACAUUGCACCUACUGCUGGAAGCGCCGUAUAUUGUAAAAUUCAUGAGCAAAAGGAAGCGAAGAUUUAAUUAUCUAGUCGCGGAAAUAAAUUGAAGAAAUGAAAAGUCAAGACAAUCAUUGCCACGAAAAAGCAACAAGAAGUAAAGCGAGGCGAAGAAUAUACGCUCAUCACGAAAAGCAGAAAAAGGUAAUAGUAAUAUUAUGCAAAAAAAAGAGCGUUCUUCAACCGAAAAGUUAACAGGUCGAGUAAAGUGACGCAAUAGAUAAUACCGGCAUUUAUAAAUCGGCAUUUACGUAAUAAUAACUCUACAUCUCGUGUAUCCCCAUCUAAAAACGACAUAUUACAAACAUUAUUAUGUCGCUUUUCCACGAUGCUGACUGCGACUGUUUAUACUCGUAGCAUCAAGCAGUUGUCACGAGGAUUAACAGUUUGUCAAAAAUAAAAUUAAAUAAAAUUACAAUAAUUAAAAAGUUAAAUCACACACACAUAUGAAACCGGAUAAUGGCUUGUGUUGUCUAUAAUACGUCUAAAAGUGAUACAAAAUCACGGGGCGACGAGCAAAGUGUUUCAAUUAUCUGGCAGUCUUACUUUGAGCAUAAGAUCUCUCUCACGUGGAAAUGUUUUAGAUAUGGCGGAGAAGCGAAUUAUACAUGUAUAUAAAAUUGAAUAAUCGAAAAAAUAUAAUAAUAUU